GACGAACGCUGGCGGCGUGCCUAAUACAUGCAAGUCGAACGCUUCUUUCCUCCCGAGUGCUUGCACUCAAUUGGAAAGAGGAGUGGCGGACGGGUGAGUAACACGUGGGUAACCUACCCAUCAGAGGGGGAUAACACUUGGAAACAGGUGCUAAUACCGCAUAACAGUUUAUGCCGCAUGGCAUAAGAGUGAAAGGCGCUUUCGGGUGUCGCUGAUGGAUGGACCCGCGGUGCAUUAGCUAGUUGGUGAGGUAACGGCUCACCAAGGCCACGAUGCAUAGCCGACCUGAGAGGGUGAUCGGCCACACUGGGACUGAGACACGGCCCAGACUCCUACGGGAGGCAGCAGUAGGAAAUCUUCGGCAAUGGACGAAAGUCUGACCGAGCAACGCCGCGUGAGUGAAGAAGGUUUUCGGAUCGUAAAACUCUGUUGUUAGAGAAGAACAAGGACGUUAGUAACUGAACGUCCCCUGACGGUAUCUAACCAGAAAGCCACGGCUAACUACGUG
rnacentral:rRNA from 1 species